AUGAACAGAGCAUUGCUUUGUAAGUGGUGGUGGAAAUUGUACACAACUGAGGGGUUAUGGCAAAACAUCGUUUUGGAAAAAUAUGUUAAGAAUAGAAAUUUGGGCAAUGUUCAGGCCAAACAGGGGGACUCCCAGUUUUGGAAGGAUAUAUUAAAACACAGAGACCAUUUUGUUUCUUUGUGCAAAUUUAAAAUUGGAAAUGGAAAAAGAACUCGCUUUUGGGAAGAUUGGUGGAUUGGCAAUGCUCCAUUAAACAAGAAUUUCCCUAGACUGUAUGAUCUUUGCUUUGAUAAAAAGAAAACAAUUAAAGAAGUUUUUGACAACGGAAUAGAUAAUGUUCAAUUUACAAGAACUUUGCUAGGGGAUGCUAGAGAGCUUUGGGGGCAUAUUAAAGAAGCUUGUAGAUUGGUGACAUCGAAUGAGGAUAAAGACGAAAUAAAAUGGUCUCUGAAUAAAAAAGGAGUUUACACUGUCAAGUCCUUUUACAGACGCCUGAUUGAAAAUGGUGUCAAGUAUCCACAUAUGUACAUGUGGAAGAUUAAAAUGCCACCUAGAAUUAAGGUAUUCAUGUGGCUGGCGCUUAGGAAAAGUAUUCUUACAAAAGAUAAUCUGAUUCGUAGGGGGUGGAAAGGAGAUGAUAAAUGUCCUUUUUGUGGACGAAAAGAGAAUUUAAACCACCUUUUUCUGUCCUGUUCAGUUGCUAGAUUAUUAUGGAAACAUUUUAAAAUGUGCUUUCAAUUUGAGAGAUAUACCAGAAACCUUAGAUGUUGUUAUGAAAACCUGGGUAAAUAA
rnacentral:rRNA from 1 species